rnacentral:rRNA from 1 species
UCUGGUUGAUCCUGCCAGUAGUCAUAUGCUUGUCUCAAAGAUUAAGCCAUGCAUGUCUAAGUAUAAAUAGUAUACAGUGAAGCUGCGAAUGGCUCAUUAAAACAGUUAUAGUUUAUUUGAUAAUUGACAAUUACAUGGAUAACCGUGGUAAUUCUAGAGCUAAUACAUGCUUAAACGCCCGACUUUAUGGAAGGGUGGUAUUUAUUAGACUGAAGCCAAUAUUCCUUGUGUCUAUUGCGGUGAUUCAUAAUAACUGAUCGAAUCUCUUUUUGAGAUAAAUCAUUCAAGUUUCUGCCCUAUCAGCUUUCGAUGGUAGUGUAUUGGACUACCAUGGCAGUAACGGGUAACGAAGUAUUAGGGUUCGAUUUCGGGGAGGGAGCAUGAGAAACGGCUACCACAUCUAAGGAAGGCAGCAGGCGCGUAAAUUACCCAAUCCUGACUCAGGGAGGUAGUGACAAGAAACAGCAAACCGGGAACCUCAUGGUUUCACGGUAUUGCAAGAGAACAAUUUAAAACCCUUAGCGAGAAUCAAGUGGAGGACAAGUCUGGUGCCAGCACCCGCGGUAAUUCCAGCUCCACUAGCGUAUAUUAAAGUUGUUGCAGUUAAAAAGCUCGUAGUUGAACCUCUGUCUGGGGCUAGUUUUGGCUUUGGUCAGGCUAGUUCUAGGCAUCCGCCUACAAGACUUAGAGGGCAUUCAGUUGUUCACUAGGAGGAGUAGGCAUUUUACUUUGAAAAAAUUAGAGUGUUUAAGGCAGGCAAUCGCCCGCAUAUAUUAGCAUGGAAUAAUAGAAUAGGACACUUUUCCAUUUCGUUGGUUAUUGGAAUCGUGUAAUGAUUAAUAGGGACAGUUGUGGGCAUUUGUAUUUAAUUGUCAGAGGUGAAAUUCUUGGAUUUAUUAAAGACAAACUAACGCGAAAGCAUUUGCCAAGGAUGUUUUCAUUAAUCAAGAACGAAAGUUAGGGGAUCAAAGACGAUCAGAUACCGUUCUAGUCUUAACUAUAAACUAUUCCGACUCAAUGUUUGACUGGCUUAUAUAACCAGUUGAGCGUUGUAUGAGAAAUCAAAGUCUUUAGGUUCUGGGGGGAGUAUGGUUGCAAAGCUGAAACUUAAAGGAAUUGACGGAAGAGCACAACCAGGAGUGGAUUCUGCGGCUUAAUUUGACUCAACACGGGGAAACUUACCAGGUUAAAACAAUAGUGGGAUUGACAGUUUGAGAGCGCUUUCUUGAUUGGUUGGGUGGUGGUGCAUGGCCGUUCUUAGUUGGUGGAGUGAUUUGUCUGCUUAAUUGCGUUAACGAACGAGACCUUAACCUGCUUACUAGACU